GCUUGUCUCAAAGAUUAAGCCAUGCAUGUCUAAGUAUAAGCCUUUGUACGGCGAAACUGCGAAUGGCUCAUUAAAACAGUUAUAGUUUAUUCGAUAAUCAAUUGCUACAUGGAUAACUGUAGUAAUUCUAGAGCUAAUACAUGCGUCAGAACCCAACUUUACGGAAGGGUCGUGUUUAUUAGAUACAAAACCAACAUCUCGUUGGUGAUUCAUAAUAACUUAUCGGAGCUCAUGGCCUUGUGCCGGAGCCAGGUCAUUCAAAUUUCUGCCCUAUCAGCUUUCGAUGGUAGUGUAGUGGACUACCAUGGCUUUAACGGGUGACGGAGAAUUAGGGUUCGAUUCCGGAGAGGGAGCCUGAGAAACGGCUACCACAUCCAAGGAAGGCAGCAGG
rnacentral:rRNA from 1 species